GCCGGUUCUGGAUAACACGACAAUACAAUUAUUAAUACUCGUUAGUUCGAUUGCCGGUUCGGAGGUCGCUCGUGGGCGCCAAGUAAUACUCGGCUGUCAUGACCGACCUCGAUCAUCCGAACUGUAUAUAAUAUCGGGAGGACCUAGCGCCGGAUCCGGACAGACGAGAGGAGAUUCAGGGCCCGACUACUCGUUUUGCCGAAAACCGGUCACCGGUAAAUGUGGAAAAAGUUUCGAUUUGCUAAUAACUUCGAGCUUGAUUUCAUAUAUACAUAGCAUAAAAAACUACGAUCGGCCAUAAAAGAUGAAAACUAAAUGUGUAGAAAAUCAGAAGAAAGAUUACCGUUUGCAACAGAAAGGAAAAAGGAAUUAUACUUUUGGUUUUAUUUUUGCGGUGAAAAAAAUUGUAUUGAUACUUGAUGGAAACUAACUUGUAACUUGUUAGAGGAAAAUAAUAUUUUAGUUGGAAAUUAAACAAAAAUGCACUAUGAACUCAAAAUAAUUAAAUCUUGAAAAAUCCAUAACAUUAAGAUAUUCAACUAUAAAAUGGUUGCGUGUUUUGAUGUUUUUUACGGCAUUUGUACAUUCAGUAAGUCAACUUAAUAUUUUUGAACAUAGAACAAACAAAUAUAUUUUGUAUCACAAACUUAUGAAACAUGAUGAUAUUUUUCUUUACCUUGGUUAAGUCCAUUACAUUAGAACUUAUGAGUAAAUAUAAAUGUUUGCCGAUAAUUUAUAGUUCUGUACAUAAUGCAACUAGUAGACACUGUAUGUAUACAAUUGAAUAUAGACUAUGAUAUGAUAUUUACCAACUAACGGUAAAACUAUUAAAAAAAACUUUUACUAAAUUCUUUUAAAGAUCCCUGUGGAUUUUAGACUUUUUCUUAUUCACAUUGGUAAACCCUAGGAUACCUAUACAAAAUUCAAAAUAGUAAGUUUUAUAUCGAAUACAGAAUGAUUCGUUAUUCAUUAUAUUUCAUUAUAGUUUUGUCUUUUACAAUACCUAUAAUGCGCAGAUCUUAUAGAAUAUGUACAAACAAUGGUGGUAAAAGUAGUCCGAGCUCUAUUAUUAUGAUCGGGAAAAUAGGUUUGAUAUGGGUUCAAUAAUUUUACAAACACAAUCGGAUAAUAUUGUAAUCAAAACUAUAACUAUGCAGUAUAAUACAUAGUGUUAUAGUGAUUACGAAUAAAAUCACAACGUUAUCAUAAUAAUAAUUCAAUUUUUAUUCGACUAUAUUUUUAAAAAUAUCAAAUAUUGUAUUAAAUAUUUUUAAACUCAUUGCUUGUUUAUAAUAUCAAUAUAAUAUCUAAAUUCUACAUCAUUACUUACACGUUACAGUGGUAUAGUUAAACGUAUAUAAACGUUACGCGUUCAGUUAUAUUUACAAUAUACGUAUAAUUUAUGUAAGUACCUACUUAUAAAUCGCGUUUAUUGGUUGAGUCGUUCUCUAACACUUACGAGUCCGUUGAUCGUAUACAGUUGUAUACGUUUUG